ACUUAGAUAGCUUAUUAAGAGCAUAAUAUUGAAGAUAUUAAGGUAAUCUUAGAUUUCCAAGUA
rnacentral:tRNA from 1 species